UUCUUCCCGUUUUCCUCUUCCCCUGAAGCCGCGGCGACCGUUGGCUUUCCCCGAGCAUCCCGACCAUUCUUCCGGUCCCUUUCUUCCUGCCGAGCAUCCCGACGAUCGCCAAGCCACAGCCGGACAAUCUCCAAGCACCAGCCGGACGUUUUUCGUUUCUCGUUCUCGUUUGAAUCCUUCAGAGACCUGAGGAGAUGUACUUCCAAUGAACCAAUCUGACUCUAUUUUCUCGGCUGUUGGUGAUUGCAAGUACACUCAAGCUAUCCCUAAUGGAUUAGUACACCCUUUAUGAAGACGCCCGAAGCUUUUCUAGCUAAACGAUUACUGUCUCGUCUAUACAAGCUGCAACAAAAGAAACACAGAUAUCAACAUGUGGGCAUGUUUUUAGGUGAAAUAUUAGGUGCAGUAGUAAUGGCUGGCGACCGGUCUCAAAUUUAUAGAGAAGUCUGUUGUAGUAAUGGCAAUGGGAUUAGAAUCUGAAGAUGGGCAGACAAUUAUUACUGAUGCUAAUAUGAAAAAAAUGGUUAGAAUUUUGGAAAAUGUGGAUUCAAUUGCAUGCUAUGAUCAUUUUGUGGCUCGGCUAGCCGACAGACAACAAUCGGCAGUUGUUGGAAGUCUUGAGGAACAGAAACAAACUUGGAGCAAACCACCCAAGUGAACCUACAAUCGGUUAGACAAAGUUGUGAACCUACAAUCGGUUAGACAAAGUUUCAGCUUAGCAAAUUUGUUGGAAUUUUGUAUGCUUAUUUUAGUUUGUUAUUCAGUGGAUUAUUAUAUUCUGUCUCAUGAAAUUAGUUUGUAUUAAUUAUGAUACUAAAUCUAAGUUUCAUUUUUAGCUAAUUAUUAACAAGUAACUUGAAUCUUAAACUUAGUUAACAUAUAUAAUUAAUAGAUGGAUCUGGAAAUGAAUA